rnacentral:rRNA from 1 species
GCUAGGCAAAAUGGUGCCGUAACUUCGGAAGAAGGCACGCUGAUAUGUAGGUGAAGCGACUUGCUCGUGGAGCUGAAAUCAGUCGAAGAUACCAGCUGGCUGCAACUGUUUAUUAAAAACACAGCACUGUGCAAACACGAAAGUGGACGUAUACGGUGUGACGCCUCCCCGGUGCCGGAAGGUUAAUUGAUGGGGUCAGCGCAAGCGAAGCUCUUGAUCGAAGCCCCGGUAAACGGCGGCCGUAACAAUAACGGUCCUAAGGUAGCGAAAUUCCUUGUCGGGUAAGUUCCGACCUGCACGAAUGGCGUAAUGAUGGCCAGGCUGUCUCCACCCGAGACUCAGUGAAAUUGAACUCGCUGUGAAGAUGCAGUGUACCCGCGGCAAGACGGAAAGACCCCGUGAACCUUUACUAUAGCUUGACACUGAACAUUGAGCCUUGAUGUGUAGGAUAGGUGGGAGGCUUUGAAGUGUGGACGCCAGUCUGCAUGGAGCCGACCUUGAAAUACCACCCUUUAAUGUUUGAUGUUCUAACGUGGACCCGUGAUCCGGGUUGCGGACAGUGUCUGGUGGGUAGUUUGACUGGGGCGGUCUCCUCCUAAAGAGUAACGGAGGAGCACGAAGGUUGGCUAAUCCUGGUCGGACAUCAGGAGGUUAGUGCAAUGGCAUAAGCCAGCUUGACUGCGAGCGUGACGGCGCGAGCAGGUGCGAAAGCAGGUCAUAGUGAUCCGGUGGUUCUGAAUGGAAGGGCCAUCGCUCAACGGAUAAAAGGUACUCCGGGGAUAACAGGCUGAUACCGCCCAAGAGUUCAUAUCGACGGCGGUGUUUGGCACCUCGAUGUCGGCUCAUCACAUCCUGGAGCUGAAGUAGGUCCCAAGGGUAUGGCUGUUCGCCAUUUAAAGUGGUACGCGAGCUGGGUUUAGAACGUCGUGAGACAGUUCGGUCCCUAUCUGCCGUGGGCGCUGGAGAACUGAGGGGGGCUGCUCCUAGUACGAGAGGACCGGAGUGGACGCAUCACUGGUGUUCGGGUUGUCAUGCCAAUGGCACUGCCCGGUAGCUAAAUGCGGAAGAGAUAAGUGCUGAAAGCAUCUAAGCACGAAACUUGCCCCGAGAUGAGUUCUCCCUGACUCCUUGAGAGUCCUGAAGGAACGUCGAAGACGACGACGUUGAUAGGCCGGGUGUGUAAGCGCAGCGAUGCGUUGAGCUAACCGGUACUAAUGAACCGUGAGGCUUAACCU